UCUAAUCCUUCAUAUUGGCAUCAGAUUAUACUACCUUUGUCCUCCAGUUUCUGUUCUUCAUCUGGUGCUCUUCUUUUUAAACUCGUCUCAUUACAAAGCAGCAAUACCAGUACCAGUAGCCAAGAGACAUCCCUUGACACAGCAUCAUUAGUUAAGAAGGAGAAGAAUGAUUUGACUGUCACCUGCUCAAUGUCACACAUCAUUGAUCUAUCUACUAGGAAAAGUGGAGAGUCUCACGACUUAAAAUUACCUGAUGAUGGUGCCUCUGGAUUAUUGAGGAUACGUGUAAACCAAGUUCAUUACGAGUCUCAGAAUGUUCAUCCUCCAGCUUCACCACAACCAGGAAAAAGAAAAAUGAGAAUACCAGAAGGAAAUUUAGUUUUCAACAUGACUU